AUUGAACGCUGGCGGCAUGCCUUACACAUGCAAGUCGAACGGUAACGCGGGGGCAACCCUGGCGACGAGUGGCGAACGGGUGAGUAAUACAUCGGAACAUAUCCAGUAGCGGGGGAUAACCUAUCGAAAGAUUGGCUAAUACCGCAUACGAUCUACGGAUGAAAGCAGGGGGACCGCAAGGCCUUGCACUAUUGGAGUGGCCGAUGUCAGAUUAGCUAGUUGGUGGGGUAAAAGCCUACCAAGGCGACGAUCUGUAGCUGGUCUGAGAGGACGAUCAGCCACACUGGAACUGAGACACGGUCCAGACUCCUACGGGAGGCAGCAGUGGGGAAUUUUGGACAAUGGGCGCAAGCCUGAUCCAGCCAUGCCGCGUGAGUGAAGAAGGCCCUCGGGUUGUAAAGCUCUUUUGUUGGGGAAGAAAAGGUGUUCGCUAAUAUCGGACACUAAUGACGGUACCCGAAGAAUAAGCACCGGCUAACUACGUGCCAGCAGCCGCGGUAA
rnacentral:rRNA from 1 species